rnacentral:sRNA from 1 species
UCCUCACACCAGCCAGCCAGCCUACCCUCCGCCCAGGGGAAGCGGCUGCCUCCGCCAGGCCGCUUCCAGGAAGCCCCGGGCCAGGCCCCAGCAUUGUUCAGGCCCUGGGGCCGGCACCCCAGCCAGCCGAACACCAUGAAGUCCAGCAGCCCCGUGGAGAGGCUGCUCAGAGCCCUGGGGAGGAGGGACGGCAGCCGGGCCACAAGCAGGCCUAGGAAAGCUGAGCCUCAUAGCUUCCGGGAGAAGGUUUUCCGGAAGAAACCUCCAGUCUGUGCAGUAUGUAAGGUGACCAUCGAUGGGACAGGCGUUUCGUGCAGAGUCUGCAAGGUGGCGACGCACAGAAAAUGUGAAGCAAAGGUGACUUCAGCCUGUCAGGCCUUGCCUCCCGCGGAGUUGCGGCGAAACACGGCCCCAGUCAGGCGCAUAGAGCACCUGGGAUCCACCAAAUCUCUGAACCACUCAAAGCAGCGCAGCACUCUGCCCAGGAGCUUCAGCCUGGACCCGCUCAUGGAGCGGCGCUGGGACUUAGACCUCACCUACGUGACGGAACGCAUCUUGGCCGCCGCCUUCCCCGCGCGGCCCGAUGAACAGCGGCACAGGGGCCACCUGCGCGAGCUGGCCCACGUGCUGCAAUCCAAGCACCGGGACAAGUACCUGCUCUUCAACCUUUCAGAGAAAAGGCAUGACCUGACCCGCUUAAACCCCAAGGUUCAAGACUUUGGCUGGCCUGAUCUGCAUGCUCCACCCCUGGACAAGCUGUGCUCCAUCUGCAAAGCCAUGGAGACGUGGCUCAGUGCUGACCCACAGCACGUGGUCGUACUAUACUGCAAGGGAAACAAGGGCAAGCUCGGGGUCAUCGUUUCUGCCUACAUGCAUUACAGCAAGAUCUCUGCAGGGGCGGACCAGGCACUGGCCACUCUUACCAUGCGGAAAUUCUGCGAGGACAAGGUGGCCACAGAACUGCAGCCCUCCCAGCGUCGAUACAUCAGUUACUUCAGUGGGCUGCUAUCCGGCUCCAUCAGAAUGAACAGCAGCCCUCUCUUCCUGCACUAUGUGCUCAUCCCCACGCUGCCAGCCUUUGAACCUGGCACAGGCUUCCAGCCCUUCCUUAAAAUCUACCAGUCCAUGCAGCUUGUCUACACGUCUGGAGUCUAUCACAUUGCAGGCCCUGGUCCCCAGCAGCUUUGCAUCAGCCUGGAGCCGGCCCUCCUCCUCAAAGGCGAUGUCAUGGUAACAUGUUAUCACAAGGGUGGCCGGGGCACAGACCGGACCCUCGUGUUCCGAGUCCAGUUCCACACCUGCACCAUCCACGGACCACAGCUCACUUUCCCCAAGGACCAGCUGGACGAGGCCUGGACUGGUGAGUCUGAGACAAGUGGCCUGGGGCUGGAGCCCAGGUGGCAGGCAGGCAGGAGAGUGUGGUAUGGGCCAGGGGCCUGGUUCUUCACUGUCCACUCCCCAUAGAUGAGAGAUUCCCCUUCCAAGCCUCCGUGGAGUUUGUCUUCUCCUCCAGCCCCGAGAAGAUCAAAGGUAAGAGCAGGGACAUGGGCUGGGGACUGAGGGCCGCCUCUCCCCUGCUCCCCAACACCCGAGUGGCCUUCCACAGGCAGCACUCCACGGAAUGACCCCUCGGUCUCUGUCGACUACAACACCACCGAGCCAGCCGUGCGCUGGGACUCCUAUGAGAACUUCAACCAGCACCACGAGGACAGUGUGGAUUGUGCGCAGGGCAGCCUGCAAGGUGGGAUGCUCCUUGACCCACACCCGGGGUCCCCUGGAUGGCAGUCCUUAUGCCCAGGUGCAGCGGCCUCCCCGGCAGACCCCCCCGGCGCCCUCUCCAGAGCCUCCACCACCCCCCAUGCUCUCUGUCAGCAGCGACUCGGGCCAUUCCUCCACGCUGACCACAGAGCCGGCUGCUGAGUCCCCUGGCCGGCCGCCCCCUACAGCUGCUGAACAGCAGGAGCUGGAUCGCCUCCUAGGAGGCUGCGGAGUGGCCAGUGGGGGCCGGGGAGCUGGGCGCGAGACGGCCAUUCUAGAUGACGAAGAGCAGCCCCCUGUGGGCGGAGGCCCCCACCUCGGUGUGUAUCCAGGCCACAGGCCUGGCCUCAGCCGCCACUGCUCCUGCCGCCAGGGCUACCGGGAGCCCUGCGGGGUCCCCAAUGGGGGCUACUACCGGCCAGAGGGAACCCUGGAGAGGAGGCGACUGGCCUACGGGGGCUAUGAGGGAUCCCCCCAGGGCUACGCCGAGGCCUCGAUGGAGAAGAGGCGCCUCUGCCGAUCGCUGUCAGAGGGGCCAUACCCCUACCCACCCGAGAUGGGGAAACCAGCCACUGGGGACUUUGGCUACCGCGCCCCAGGCUACCGGGAGGUGGUCAUCCUGGAGGACCCUGGGCUGCCUGCCCUAUACCCAUGCCCAGCCUGCGAGGAGAAGCUGGCGCUGCCUACAGCAGCCUUGUAUGGACUGCGGCUGGAGAGGGAGGCUGGAGAAGGGUGGGCAAAUGAGGCUGGCAAGCCUCUCCUGCACCCAGUGCGGCCUGGGCACCCGCUGCCUCUGCUCUUGCCUGCCUGUGGGCAUCACCAUGCCCCGAUGCCUGACUACAGCUGCCUGAAGCCACCCAAGGCAGGCGAGGAAGGGCACGAGGGCUGCUCCUACACCAUGUGCCCCGAAGGCAGGUAUGGGCAUCCAGGGUACCCUGCCCUGGUGACAUACAGCUAUGGAGGAGCAGUUCCCAGUUACUGCCCAGCAUAUGGCCGCGUGCCUCAUAGCUGUGGCUCUCCAGGAGAGGGCAGAGGGUAUCCCAGCCCUGGUGCCCACUCCCCACGGGCUGGCUCCAUUUCCCCGGGCAGCCCGCCCUAUCCACAAUCUAGGAAGCUGAGCUACGAGAUCCCUACGGAGGAGGGAGGGGACAGGUACCCAUUGCCUGGGCACCUGGCCUCAGCAGGACCUUUGGCAUCUGCAGAGUCACUGGAGCCGGUGUCCUGGAGGGAGGGCCCCAGUGGGCACAGCACACUGCCUCGGUCUCCCCGAGAUGCCCCAUGCAGUGCUUCAUCAGAGUUGUCUGGUUCCUCCAUGCCCCUGCACACCAGCAGCCCAGUCCAGGGCAAGGAAAGCACCCGGCGACAGGACACCAGGUCCCCCACCUCAGCGCCCACUCAGAGACUGAGUCCUGGCGAGGGCUUGCCCCCUGUUUCCCAGGCAGGCACCGGAAAGGCCCCUGAGCUGCCGUCGGGAAGUGGGCCUGAGCCUCCGGCCCCUAGCCCAGUCUCUCCGACCUUCCCUCCCAGCUCGCCCAGUGACUGGCCUCAGGAAAGGAGUCCAGGGGGCCGCUCAGAUGGCGCCAGUCCUCGGAGCCCUGUGCCCACCACACUUCCUGGCCUCCGCCACGCCCCCUGGCAAGGCCCUCGAGGCCCCCCAGACAGCCCAGAUGGGUCUCCCCUCACUCCUGUGCCUUCCCAGAUGCCCUGGCUUGUGACCAGCCCAGAGCCGCCUCAGAGCUCACCUACACCUGCUUUCCCCCUGGCUGCCUCCUAUGACACCAAUGGCCUUAGCCAGCCCCCACUUCCUGAGAAACGCCACCUGCCUGGGCCGGGGCAACAGCCAGGACCCUGGGGCCCAGAGCAGGCAUCAUCGCCAGCCAGAGGCAUCAGUCACCAUGUCACCUUCGCACCUCUGCUCUCGGAUAACGUCCCCCAACCCCCAGAGCCUCCUACACAAGAGAGCCAAAGCAAUGUCAAGUUUGUCCAGGAUACAUCCAAGUUCUGGUACAAGCCACACCUGUCCCGUGACCAAGCCAUUGCCCUGCUGAAGGACAAGGAUCCUGGGGCCUUCCUGAUCAGGGACAGUCAUUCAUUCCAAGGAGCUUAUGGGCUGGCCCUCAAGGUGGCCACACCGCCACCCAGUGCCCAGCCCUGGAAAGGGGACCCCGUGGAACAGCUGGUCCGCCAUUUCCUCAUCGAGACUGGGCCCAAAGGGGUGAAGAUCAAGGGCUGCCCCAGUGAGCCCUACUUUGCCUGUCCGCCUUGGUCUCCCAGCACUCCAUCUCCCCCAUCUCCCUGCCCUGCUGCCUGCGCAUUCCCAGCAAAGAUCCUCUGGAAGAGACCCCAGAGGCUCCAGUGCCCACCAACAUGAGCACAGCGGCAGACCUCCUGCGUCAGGGUGCUGCCUGCAGCGUGCUCUACCUGACCUCAGUGGAGACAGAGUCACUGACGGGCCCCCAGGCUGUGGCCCGGGCCAGCUCUGCAGCUCUGAGCUGUAGCCCCCGCCCGACACCAGCUGUUGUCCACUUCAAGGUGUCAGCCCAGGGCAUUACACUGACGGACAACCAAAGGAAGCUAUUCUUUCGCCGCCAUUAUCCAGUGAACAGCAUCACCUUCUCCAGCACAGACCCUCAAGACCGGAGAUGGACCAACCCAGACGGGACCACCUCCAAGAUCUUUGGUUUCGUGGCCAAGAAGCCGGGAAGCCCCUGGGAGAAUGUGUGUCACCUCUUUGCAGAGCUUGACCCAGAUCAGCCUGCUGGCGCCAUUGUCACCUUCAUCACCAAAGUUCUACUGGGCCAGAGAAAAUGAAGGAAGGCCACAAGCUCAGAGCCCACAUCAACACUGCACCCCUCCCAGCACCACACAGCCCUCACAUCCCCUGGCCUGGACCCAGGAGACCCAGGAGAAAGCACCCUCCCUUAGGAAUGAGGAGUGGGCAUCAGGCCUGGGACACUGCUCUCCUUCCCCGCCCCCAGCCUGCUAAGUUAAGUGGACAGGCCCACAAGAUGACCUUGCAUGUGAGCAGAUGGCAGAGAUGGGUGUGUGAGGGGUGAGGAGGCAUCAGCAGUGAAGCCCCGAAGGAGAUCAGGCAGCCCCACCUGCAGGAGAACAUCAGCCCUCCAGGGGAUCAGCCCCUGCCAGUUCCACCCAGCUGCAGGUCCCAGCACGGCAGGGAUGGGAGAGGGGUGGGGAGCAAGUCACUGCCUCCUCUGAGCAGAGAUUCAGAGUAGGAUCACAUGAAUAGGGGAAAAAAGAGAGUCUAUUUUUGUCUAAUAAUAAAGAAUUUCUAUAAACUUUA